GGUUUGGUGGUCUAGUGGUAUGAUUCUCGCUUAGGGACAACCCUAUCCAAUUAUGCGAGAGGUCCCGGGUUCAAUCCCCGGCCAAACCC
rnacentral:tRNA from 1 species